GGACGGGACGGGACGGCGGCGGCGAGGGGACCGGGACGGGGACAGGAAUGGGGUCCGGGCGGGGACCGGGACGGGACGGCAGCGGCAUGGGGACUGGGACAGGAAUGGGGUCCGGGCGGGGACCGGGAUCGGCGAUGGGGACAGGGUCGCGCUCCGGCAUAGGGGGAUGAGGAUGGGGACCGGGACCCGCUGUCCCCUCAGCCCGGCGGGCGCUGAAGCGCAGCCCGGGAUCCCCUCACGGAAAAGCGUCCAGGGCCGCCGCCCGCGCUAGAAACCGGCAAUUUCGGAGGGCUUUCCGCGUUUUCUUUAUUUUUUUCCUUUUUUUUUUUUUUUUUCCCCUCCCCUUCCUUGGACUCGGAGCGCAGCUGCGGAGCCCGAGGGUCGCUGGCGGGGCCGGUACCGGCGGCUGGGGGAGCCGGCCAGAGCCGGACACGGAGCCCACCCCUGAAAAAAAGCUUGGAAAUUACUUUUUCUCAAGGUUUUUCUACUGCUUCCUUCCCUCAAAGACCCUCGGGGAGGCCGGGUGCGGUGCCGGGGCUGCUCACGCUGUCGCCGUGUUUUCCAAACCCAUCUGCCCGUGCUGAAGGACUGCUGGUAACGCGUUGCUGGCUGCUCAUGAAUCCCAGAAACUGCUUUGCAUAACAGUUUUAUUUUCAUGGAGUAAUCUUCCCUGUUAGCUGUGUUUUCAGACUCUUUGGCAAUCAGUUUUUAAUACCUACGCUGUUUUGCAAACUGGCUUUUUCAAGGCGUUACCGGCUUAGCUGCCGCGGAUGGGUGCCCUGUGCUCUGCAGGGGUUGUUCUGCUUUAGGGGAAAGUGGACAAGAAACUGGGGAAAAGCAGCUUACUUCAGGAUGUUAGGAAAGUAUAUCACCAAAACAGGAUUUCAUCUUUUAAAAAAACUUUUCCUUCCCCUUUAAUUGAAAUAAGAUCCAGAUCAUUUUAGUAUUGGAUGUUCCUGUAAAAUGUAUUUACAUUUAUAUUUAAAUUUACGUCUAAUGCCUUGUAACUCUUUGAAGAAUAACCACCAGCCAAGCCUCUGAUGCAUUGCCACUGCAAGAAAAUACUUGUGCCCAAGGUUUUCAAUAUUCAUCAGUAAUGCAUUUAUAAAGAGAGAGCUCCUUGCAACAAUGUAAAUACAGGAGGAAAUAAAUCUAAAUAAAUCCUUUGCA